GACAAGAACAAAGAGAAACUGUAGAGUGGCUCACUUUGGAUCUCUGGGUAUUUCAUCAUCAGGAGAAUGGCCCACUGCAAAGUUGUGGCAGUCGUCUCCGUUCCAGCCAUGACCAGGUUGAAACGCUCUGCUCCAGCAUCAACCACAGACAUUACUGGACCAGAGAGCCCCCACUUGGGGUUGUGGUAUCUCAGUAGCCCCAGGGUAGCCCUGGGUUAUAGAGUCCCGGCAGCCCAAAGAAGUGGAUCCCUGGCAGCGUCAGAGCAGCUGAGCCCCAGCAGUCUUGGAAUGGGCCACAGAGCCAGGAGUCUGAUGCCUGAAGCCAGGGGAUCCUGACAAUCUGCUGACACACCGGAGUCUGUCAACAGAGGGGCAGACCUUCCCUGGUCUGACAAAAUCCCUCCAGGUCCCAAGCGUGCUGGAUCAGUUCUUACAGCUUGAGAUUUGCUGCACUGGACCAUGGAGCCUGUGUGACUCAAAAUACACUGGAAGAAGUUACUUACAUGUAAGAAUGGAGAGCCAAGAAGAACCAUAACUUCAUCUAUGAGUCUUAACAAGCUCUCCAUUAGAAAAGAAGACACCUGAGGCAUAUGCGAGCUGUGGGCCUGUGACACAUUUAGUACCCUAGACCUGAAGAAGCUCCAAAGCUUGUUUCUAUCACCAUGAUAAGUGGGUUCAACGAAAGAUACUGCCUCAACUACCACCAUAACUAAUUUCGUAAGUAUGUCUGCAGAACUGGCUGCGCUGCGGGGCAGAUUCCUGUUUUGUUUAGUAAAGAAUCAUGUUUGCUAAUGAUACCCAUAGACACCCUGCGUGUAGCAUACCGCCUUGGGAGAAGGAUCCUAGUUUCAUGGGGGUGUCUUAUGUGCUCAUGCGGCUAGCCGCUAUGUGUCAUACAUUUUUAGGCGAGGUGAAUGGGAUCCCUGCAAAGAAACUUCAUUUCUCAUGCAGUGAAAAGUUCCAAACCAUUCCAUAUAUUAAGGGAUAAAGUAGGGUCUAAGCCUGUGGGGUAAAUUCUGACACCAACUCCCAGUCACAUCAUGCAGGAAGGCUUUAAAGUUUACAUCACAGUUUACACAUGAGGUCACUGUACCAGUGCUUCAAGCCAGCCAAGAGAGGCAUCGGAGAUGCAGAGAUAUGUGGCCACUACACAAAAUUCAAUGGCUAUAACCUACACAUAGAUGCCAGCCAUAGAAAGCAACCUUAUCCACAGCCUGUUAGUUGCAUUUGUGCCCUCAUGGGGGAGGAUCCCAGCCCUUCCAAAUCCUGCAAAUUGUCCAUGCGAGGUCCAUCCACUCAGGCUACAGCCCAUUUUAAUAAGCACUAUGCACAGGAUGGAACUCUGCUAUUAUUAUUGAUUUACUAUUUGUGUCAACUUAGUGUUUAGGAGCUCUAGUUAUGCAGCAGGAUAUCUGAAGCUCUGUUUAUUAAACAUGGGCAGAAACAGAUCCAAAGCAGAGCUGGAUGGGCAGGAAAGAGAGCCAGGGAAAAGUUGUGCAAAACUUUCCUCUUGGGGUAAGGACAAGCAAAGAUCCUGGAUUACCCUAGCCUGACAGACACCUUUUCAGCAUCCCGUUACAGAUUUUUUAAAAAAACCUGUUUAUCUGCUUAAGCAAUAGUUUUAAUUACAAGUUAACAGAAGUGUUCAUAGGGUUUUUAUUCCGGCUACUUGAAAAAAACUAUUCCACCUUGUUUUUCUGUCAUGCCAUCCAUUUCAAUGGGAAUUUGCCGGCUGAGGAAUGGAGUAACAACUGCAUAAGCACAUAUAGAUUUGACCCUCUCUUAUGCGGCUGUUGGACUCUUUAGUCAAUUCUGCUUAUUUCUUCCUGGGGAUUUCCUUUUUCUUGUUAGUUAUUUGCUAAUACUCUAAAAGCCCUCUGGGUAAGGGAGCUGUCAAGUUCAUAUUUAAAAUCUCACAAGCGCUAUACACUUCAUGUACCUUAUCAAGUUUACAUGAAAAAAAUCCACCUUACCCAGGGGCCCUCUUUUAGUGGUUGAUCCGAAAUGACACUGUCUCUGAGUA